rnacentral:rRNA from 1 species
GGGUUGUGAGGUUAAGCGACUAAGCGUACACGGUGGAUGCCCUGGCAGUCAGAGGCGAUGAAGGGCGUGCUAAUCUGCGAUAAGCGCCGGUAAGGUGAUAUGAACCGUUAUAACCGGCGAUACCCGAAUGGGGAAACCCAGUGUGACUCGUCACACUAUCAUUAACUGAAUCCAUAGGUUAAUGAGGCGAACCGGGGGAACUGAAACAUCUAAGUACCCCGAGGAAAAGAAAUCAACCGAGAUUCCCCCAGUAGCGGCGAGCGAACGGGGAGGAGCCCAGAGCCUGAAUCAGCAUGUGUGUUAGUGGAAGCGUCUGGAAAGGCGCGCGAUACAGGGUGACAGCCCCGUACACAAAAGCGCAUGUGCUGUGAGCUCGAUGAGUAGGGCGGGACACGUGGUAUCCUGUCUGAAUAUGGGGGGACCAUCCUCCAAGGCUAAAUACUCCUGACUGACCGAUAGUGAACCAGUACCGUGAGGGAAAGGCGAAAAGAACCCCGGCGAGGGGAGUGAAAAAGAACCUGAAACCGUGUACGUACAAGCAGUGGGAGCACAGGUUUACCUGUGUGACUGCGUACCUUUUGUAUAAUGGGUCAGCGACUUAUAUUCUGUAGCAAGGUUAACCGUAUAGGGGAGCCGGAGGGAAACCGAGUCUUAACCGGGCGUUAAGUUGCAGGGUAUAGACCCGAAACCCGGUGAUCUAGCCAUGGGCAGGUUGAAGGUUGGGUAACACUAACUGGAGGACCGAACCGACUAAUGUUGAAAAAUUAGCGGAUGACCUGUGGCUGGGGGUGAAAGGCCAAUCAAACCGGGAGAUAGCUGGUUCUCCCCGAAAGCUAUUUAGGUAGCGCCUCGUGAAUUCAUCUCCGGGGGUAGAGCACUGUUUCGGCUAGGGGGCCAUCCCGGCUUACCAACCCGAUGCAAACUGCGAAUACCGGAGAAUGUUAUCACGGGAGACACACGGCGGGUGCUAACGUCCGUCGUGAAGAGGGAAACAACCCAGACCGCCAGCUAAGGUCCCAAAGUCAUGGUUAAGUGGGAAACGAUGUGGGAAGGCCCAGACAGCCAGGAUGUUGGCUUAGAAGCAGCCAUCAUUUAAAGAAAGCGUAAUAGCUCACUGGUCGAGUCGGCCUGCGCGGAAGAUGUAACGGGGCUAAACCAUGCACCGAAGCUGCGGCAGCGACGCUGAUGCGUUGUUGGGUAGGGGAGCGUUCUGUAAGCCUGUGAAGGUGUGUCGUGAGGCAUGCUGGAGGUAUCAGAAGUGCGAAUGCUGACAUAAGUAACGAUAAAGCGGGUGAAAAGCCCGCUCGCCGGAAGACCAAGGGUUCCUGUCCAACGUUAAUCGGGGCAGGGUGAGUCGACCCCUAAGGCGAGGCCGAAAGGCGUAGUCGAUGGGAAACGGGUUAAUAUUCCCGUACUUGGUGUUACUGCGAAGGGGGGACGGAGAAGGCUAUGUUGGCCGGGCGACGGUUGUCCCGGUUUAAGCGUGUAGGUGUGUGUUCCAGGUAAAUCCGGUUCACUUUAACACUGAGGCGUGAUGACGAGGCACUACGGUGCUGAAGCAACAAAUGCCCUGCUUCCAGGAAAAGCCUCUAAGCAUCAGGUAACAUCAAAUCGUACCCCAAACCGACACAGGUGGUCAGGUAGAGAAUACCAAGGCGCUUGAGAGAACUCGGGUGAAGGAACUAGGCAAAAUGGUGCCGUAACUUCGGGAGAAGGCACGCUGACAUGUAGGUGAAGUGAUUUACUCACGGAGCUGAAGUCAGUCGAAGAUACCAGCUGGCUGCAACUGUUUAUUAAAAACACAGCACUGUGCAAACACGAAAGUGGACGUAUACGGUGUGACGCCUGCCCGGUGCCGGAAGGUUAAUUGAUGGGGUCAGCGCAAGCGAAGCUCCUGAUCGAAGCCCCGGUAAACGGCGGCCGUAACUAUAACGGUCCUAAGGUAGCGAAAUUCCUUGUCGGGUAAGUUCCGACCUGCACGAAUGGCGUAAUGAUGGCCAGGCUGUCUCCACCCGAGACUCAGUGAAAUUGAACUCGCUGUGAAGAUGCAGUGUACCCGCGGCAAGACGGAAAGACCCCGUGAACCUUUACUAUAGCUUGACACUGAACAUUGAGCCUUGAUGUGUAGGAUAGGUGGGAGGCUUUGAAGUGUGGACGCCAGUCUGCAUGGAGCCGACCUUGAAAUACCACCCUUUAAUGUUUGAUGUUCUAACGUGGACCCGUAAUCCGGGUUGCGGACAGUGUCUGGUGGGUAGUUUGACUGGGGCGGUCUCCUCCUAAAGAGUAACGGAGGAGCACGAAGGUUGGCUAAUCCUGGUCGGACAUCAGGAGGUUAGUGCAAUGGCAUAAGCCAGCUUGACUGCGAGCGUGACGGCGCGAGCAGGUGCGAAAGCAGGUCAUAGUGAUCCGGUGGUUCUGAAUGGAAGGGCCAUCGCUCAACGGAUAAAAGGUACUCCGGGGAUAACAGGCUGAUACCGCCCAAGAGUUCAUAUCGACGGCGGUGUUUGGCACCUCGAUGUCGGCUCAUCACAUCCUGGGGCUGAAGUAGGUCCCAAGGGUAUGGCUGUUCGCCAUUUAAAGUGGUACGCGAGCUGGGUUUAGAACGUCGUGAGACAGUUCGGUCCCUAUCUGCCGUGGGCGCUGGAGAACUGAGGGGGGCUGCUCCUAGUACGAGAGGACCGGAGUGGACGCAUCACUGGUGUUCGGGUUGUCAUGCCAAUGGCACUGCCCGGUAGCUAAAUGCGGAAGAGAUAAGUGCUGAAAGCAUCUAAGCACGAAACUUGCCCCGAGAUGAGUUCUCCCUGAGACUUAGAGUCUCCUGAAGGAACGUUGAAGACGACGACGUUGAUAGGCCGGGUGUGUAAGCGCAGCGAUGCGUUGAGCUAACCGGUACUAAUGAACCGUGAGGCUUAACCUUACAACGCCGAAG